UUCUCUCACACAGAACUGUACUUUUCCCAGACUAUUCCCUUUUCAUUCAGGUAGAACAUCUAAUAGCAGUUGAUGAUUCCUACUUUCUGAGGAUGUUUUCCUUCUUCCAAACUAUUUUCACACCUCCCAACAAUAAGUUCCUUGUUUUUUCCCUUAUCAGUGGUACCUCCAGGAGGUCUCUGGUUCUCAGGCACCCAGCUGCACUUUGAGGAAGCCUUUAUGGGUCACGUUUAUGGCUGCUCCCAUCAGGGGGUGUGCCAACAAGAGCAUGCCGAUGGGCUGCUUAGGAUGGUUUCUCCGUAGUCUUCAUACUCACCAUGGCUGACCAUGGGUCACAUUUUUGGGUUGAUUCCAGGCAUCCUCUCAGUUGUGGGAUCCAAGAAAGCUCUUCAGUAUCAUUCAGUAUCAUUCUGUAUAUCUGCUUGGCAAAUAAAGGCAGAU